rnacentral:rRNA from 1 species
AUGAAGCUGGAAUUGCUAGUAAUCGCAGAUCAGAAUGCUGCGGUGAAUACGUUCCCGGGCCUUGUACACACCGCCCGUCACACCAUGGGAGCCGGUAAUACCCGAAGUCAGUAGUCUAACCGCAAGGGGGACGCUGCCGAAGGUAGGAUUGGCGACUGGGGUGAAGUCGUAACAAGGUAUC